AGCAACAACAACAACAAAUAUGGCGGAAUCUGUAUUGUCAAACACGGAAGAAGAAGGAUACAACCAUAAUUAAACCAAGAAGUUUAUGAAGAAGGGAUCACUGGAUUUUGUCACUUUGGUACAAGAAACAGAAAAGGAUAUCAUAGACCACCUUACUUAUACGGAAGCAUAGGAGCUGUUGAAGGAAAUUGCUGCCAGACAGUCAGCAGUUAUCACCGACAGCCUGUCCUGGCCCAGCUUGGACCAUCCUCAAGCUAACCAUGAUGGUGUGUUUGCAAGAAUUGUUCAUUUGGUAGACCAUGAUGAAGACCAGCUUUGUUGUGGCAUGGCCUGACAAUACUGUACAAGCCAGAGACCAAAAAAGGGUUAAGUGGUGACUGAUCCUCUCACCCUCCUUAUCCAGGAAACAUUUCGGAACAACGUGUUGGCACUGAAGAUGUGGAGGACACAGAUUGAUCACAGUACAUCCUUUGGAUACAUGGACACCUUCAACGUGACGACAACAAAACUGUACCUGCCUUUUUUUUGAAAGGAAGUAGUUAAUAAAAUUAUUGUUAACAGCUUUUUUAGUCUUGUUGUUUAAGAAUGCUUGCAACAUUUAAGUGGAUAAACGGUUGUUUUAAAUUUGAAUCUUCAGUAAUGCAUUCUUUAUUAAAUGAUGUAAUCUUAUUUCUUUCAAUAUAGUGUAAAUAAUAAGAACAUAAUUAUCCUUUGUAUACAAAAUGAAAACCAAGUUUACUGUUCUAUUAAUCAUUAUUUAUUUAUCUUGUUCUUUUGUCAGAAAUAUUACAGGGGCAUACAUACAGUAUUCCUUAAAUAAAAGGGGCAGUUCUUAGAAAAUUAACAUGUGUUUUAGCAAUGCAUAUUCACACUUUUUCCACAUUUAUAACCAGCAACAAUAUGUAAGUAGUAUAAUGUAACACAAAUUAAUACUAUGAAUUUACUACUGAUUUUGCCGUGCCUGUCAUCAAACAUGUUUGACUGAAAGUUUCUUAAAAGAUGUUAUGUGGAAGACUUAAUCAAUCAUUUAAUAAAUAUUUGAGCCACGCUCUGGGAAAGGGGGUUUAAUGCAUGUACUUAAGGUUGUCCAAGAUUAGGCUGUGCAGACUGCACAGGCUAAUCAGGGGCAACACUUUCCGCCUUAUCUGGAUUUUCUCUAAGAGACUCCAUUUCAACAAGAAAUACAAUAAAGCAGCAAUUGUCUGCCUGAUUGGUAUAAUAAGCACAUGUUUAUCUCGUACGACAAUUUACGCACAUGCAUUAAGCCCCAUUUUCCCAGGGCAAGGCUCACCUAUUUAGGUUUUAGCUGUCUAUAUGCUCUUUAACUUUUGAAUCAUGAUGCAGUUUCAUAUAAUAAUGUAUUAUGAGUUGUUUUUAAUUGAUGCAUAUUCUUUUGUUCAGUGUUGAACUCAACAUGUAUUAUAAUAAGGUGUUCACUUAACAUUCUUGCAGUAAUGCUUUGCUGUGUAAUAUACAUGUAAUAAUAAAUCAAAAUUGAACAACUA